rnacentral:rRNA from 1 species
UACAGAGGGUGCAAGCGUUAUUCGGAUUUACUGGGCGUAAAGAGCGCGUAGGCGGUUUGAUAAGUCUGAUGUGAAAGCCCUGGACUCAAUCCAGGAAGUGCAUUGGAUACUGUCAGGCUAGAGUACAGGAGAGGUGAGCGGAAUUCCUGGUGUAGAGGUGAAAUUCGUAGAUAUCAGGAGGAACAACAGAGGCGAAGGCGGCUCACUGGACUGUUACUGACGCUGAGGCGCGAAAGCGUGGGGAGCAAACAGG